rfam:Opisthorchis viverrini opera_v5_5.156, whole genome shotgun sequence.
GUUGGCUACGGAGACAUGCGACCUGUGACGGUGUGGGGUAAAUUGGUCGGCUCACUGUGCGCUAUCGCUGGAGUAUUGACAAUUGCUCUACCGGUACCUGUGAUUGUGUCCAAU